AGCCCCUGUGUCCAACCUGGCCUUGAACACUGCCAGGGAUGGGGCAGCCACAGCUUCUCUGGGCACCCUGUGCCAGCGCCUCAGCACCCUCACAGGGAAGAGCUUCUGCCUAAGAGCUCAUCUCAGUCUCCCCUCGGGCAGGGUAAAGCCAUUCCCCCUUGUCCUGUCCCUACAGGCCCUCAUCAAGAGCCCCUCUCCAGGUUUCUUCUUGUCCCCUUUAGGCACUGGGCUCUCUUCUGCUGUCUUCCAGUAUAGUGUGAAAUCAGCAGGACAUGAAUACAAACCACAAUGUCCAUGAACUAAACAUUAAAGACGGUUUAAAUGUUCCUCUAUAUUUCAACAGCAUCAAAGUUGCUCCUUCCUCCAUUUCCAGGACAGUCUGGGAUCCCUACAUGCUGCUGCCCUUCCUCCCCAGCCUGUUGGAUAAGCAGCAGCAGGAUCUGACCUCUCCUGAACACUGGAGUGCUCUGUUCUAAGCAUGAUGUCCUGCUCCAGUUCUGUCGUUAGAUAACAAAAUUCAGAGCACAGGAGCACUCUGCUUCUCCGUGGCACUGCGCAGUGCAGAUGUAAGGCUGACUGCUGUGCAACUUGCUUGACAUCUUCUCACGCUGUAGUGGCAGCUGAUAAAGAGAGCAAUGACUUUUAUAAGUGUGUAAUCUGUCCAUUUACUAUCAGGCCUCUAUUUCACGAGUCCACUGGCUGCAGCUCCUCAGUAGCAGCUUCAAAACCAGUGGCUUUGGAUGCUGCUGUGCCACAAAGGAUCCCCAGAAACCUACCCCAAUGGCAUUCCAAAUCCAGGUUGUUCCCUAGGGCUGCUCGAGGCCGUGCUCUGCAUAUCCCUGCAGGAGUGCUCACACAGCAGGAUGCCAGGUAGAGCUGUAACUGCUGCCUCUGCAGCUUCUGUGCAAGGUGCGCAGGCUGAAGUCAGUGUGGAUUUAUAGAAAAUGAUGGAUUUUCUCUACUGAAAGCUAAGGAAUUCUAGCGAGGCCCCUGUUCCUU